GGCAGCAUGGGGGAGUAGCAAUACUCUCUGAUGGCGACCGGCGCAAGGGUGCGUAACGCGUGAGCAACUUGCCCUCAUCAGGGGAAUAAUCGCUGGAAACGGCGUCUAAUGCCCCAUGGCGAUGGAAUCAGGCAUCUGGUUCCAUCUAAAGAUCCGUCGGAUGAGGAUAGGCUCGCGUGACAUUAGCUUGACGGCGGGGUAACGGCCCACCGUGGCGACGAUGUCUAGGGGUUCUGAGAGGAAGGUCCCCCACACUGGAACUGAGACACGGUCCAGACUCCUACGGGAGGCAGCAGUGAGGAAUAUUGGUCAAUGGCCGGAAGGCUGAACCAGCCAUGCCGCGUGAAGGUCAGUGCCCUAUGGGCGUUAAACUUCUUUUGUGCGGGAGCAAUAAGGUCCACGUGUGGACCGACGAGAGUACCGUACGAAUAAGCAUCGGCUAACUCCGUGCCAGCAGCCGCGGUAAUACGGGGGAUGCAAGCGUUAUCCGGAUUUAUUGGGUUUAAAGGGUGCGUAGGCUGUGAGGUAAGUCAGCGGUGAAAUGCCCCCGCUCAACGGGGUGAAGUGCCAUUGAUACUGCCUUGCUGGAAUGCGGAUGCCGUGGGAGGAAUGUGUGGUGUAGCGGUGAAAUGCAUAGAUAUCACACAGAACACCGAUUGCGAAGGCAUCUCACGAAUCCGCUAUUGACGCUGAUGCACGAAAGCGUGGGUAUCAAACA
rnacentral:rRNA from 1 species